UUAACAUGUCUGUCAGUUUGUAGGUCAAAUUUACGUGCAUAUUUGCCCAGCUCUUGUUCAGGAGAAACAAAACAUUCCACUUGGCGCCACAUAAAUAUGAAUUUAUACCGUCAGACCUUUGCCUUUGACCUUAGUAAACAUAACAUUUUGUCCAUAUAUAAAUUUGUACACACACAGUCGCGAAUUGUUUUGGGGUCCGCAGCGGGUUAUCGACAAAGCAUCAACCGAAAUUAUUCAUGUCGUAUGAAUUAUUUAGUUGUGGUUGCACGCGAAAGUAGUUUUUGUUUUCAUUUUUGGCGUCUUUGUAUGUAGC